rnacentral:rRNA from 1 species
UCAGCCAGGCCGCGGUAAUACGGGGGGUGCAAGCGUUAUUCGGAAUUAUUGGGCGUAAAGGGCGCGUAGGCGGUCUUGUCGGUCAGAUGUGAAAGCCCAGGGCUCAACCCUGGACGUGCAUUUGAAACAGCAAGACUUGAGUACGGGAGAGGAAAGCGGAAUUCCUGGUGUAGAGGUGAAAUUCGUAGAUAUCAGGAGGAACACCGAUGGCGAAGGCAGCUUUCUGGACCGAUACUGACGCUGAGGCGCGAAGGUGUGGGUAGCGAACGGGAUUAGAUACCCCGGUAGUCCACACAGUAAACGAUGUUCACUAGGUGUGUCGGAUAUUAAAAUCUGAUGUGCCCAAGCUAACGCAUUAAGUGAACCGCCUGGGGAGUACGGUCGCAAGACUAAAACUCAAAGGA